CUGAGGUUGGGGCUCAGUGGCAAAGCACUCGCCUAAUAUGUGUGAGGCACUGGGUUCAAUCCUCAAUAUCACA
rnacentral:tRNA from 1 species